rnacentral:rRNA from 1 species
GUACACGCUGUGACUAGCAUAUCAAUAAGCGGAGGAAAAGAAACUAACAAGGAUUCCCUUAGUAACGGCGAGUGAAGCGGGAAGAGCUCAAAUUUGAAAUCUUCAAGGUCUUACCUUGACGAAUUGUAGUUUAAAGAAGUGUUUUCUGCUGAAGUUUUGGUAAAAGUUCUUUGGAAUAGGACAUCAUAGAGGGUGAGAAUCCCGUAUUUGACCAUUAUUUUCAGCUUUGUGAUACACUUUCAAAGAGUCGGAUUGUUUGGGAAUACAGUCCAAAAUGGGUGGUAAAUUUCAUCUAAAGCUAAAUAUUGGCGAGAGACCGAUAGCGAACAAGUACCGUGAGGGAAAGAUGAAAAGAACUUUGAAAAGAGAGUUAAACAGUACGUGAAAUUGUCAAAAGGGAAGCGUUUGACACCAGUGUUGUUUUCUCGAAAAUCAAUUAAAAAUGGCUCGAUUUUGUAUUGCUUGAGACCUUAAAAGCUCACUGUACAUUUUUCGUGUCUUUUUUAAUGCACUUUUCGUUUAACAAGUCAACAUCAGUUUCUUUUGUUGUAAAAGGGUCAUUGGAAGGUGGCUUUCUUUUCGGAGAAAGUGUUUAUAGCCUUUGGCCUCUGCAAUCGGAGAGACUGAGGUCUGCAGCGUAGACUCUUCGGGGUUAGAUACAUUUGUGCUAAGUUAUAGCUUUUUAUAGACAACUUGUUGACUAUAAUUAGUCUUGUAGCUUACUCGCUUACGCUAUUUUACCUACGCUUAGGAUGUUGACGCAUGAGAUAUACGC